GAGAGGCGAAAUAGUGAAGUCUAGGCCUCAUCAUCACCGUCGCCACCGCCGAAGGUGAGCCCUUUUUGUUUUAGCCAUUGGUUUCUUGCAUCUUUUCAGAGAGAUUGAGUGAGAUGUGAGCGACGAUAGGCGAUUUUAAGAGAGAUUGUGAGAGGUGAGCGAAUGAGAGGUUGUGAGGGGUGAGCGAAGGUUGACGGUGAAGGUUGGGGACGCGAGAGCAGAGGGAGUUUUCAUUGAGGGCGAGUGAGAUAGAGAGAGGAGGACGACGACUCUCCUUUUCAUUACAGUAUUUUUUAUUUUCUUUCUUUUUUUGUUCCUUUUAUUUAAUUCUUUUUUUUCUGUCAGUAGAGCAAACAUUAAAAAAAAAACAUUAAAAAAAAUUCGUUUAAUUUUCCUAGGUUAUUAGUUAAUAAU
rnacentral:lncRNA from 1 species